rnacentral:lncRNA from 1 species
GAGACAAGGUUUCAUUUUGUGGUGCAGUUGGCCUCAGGGUUGCUAUGUAGCCGAGGCUGGCCAUGAGCUGUUGAUCCUCCUGCCUGCACCUACAAGUUCUGGAACUGUAGAAUUAGAAGGCUGACUGGCAUUGUUUUUUCUUUUUCACCCCCUUAGCUGUAACUCUUCCAUUCUGCUUUACAAGCUGACAAGAUUUCAAGUCAAGGCAGGAGGCUCACGAUGCUGUCAUGAAGUACACGUGGAGAAGAACUGCAGAUAAAUGCUUUCCACUUAGAGCUUUGAAGAAGAAUUAGUGAGCAUUUGGAUGAUGCAAAAGCAAGAGGGAGGAAGAAGAUGUGGAGGAGGAAAGACCUCAAAGCUGCCUGCAUGCAGUUUGGUGUCCUCUCCAGGUCUUGCCUCAGCAUGUGGGAUCUGUUUCAGCUGAAAUCACUGUGCCAAUCGGCCAGAGUCUGCUGAAGCAGGAAGAAACUGCAGCAUACCACCAGAAGUUUUUGUGUCCCAGUCCUUCUCCCCUGUCCCUCUGUCUCUCUCCAUCUUUCUCUCCCUAUCCUUGUCUGCUGUCCAUCCUCUUUAUCCCUCUCCCUUUGCCCAUGCUCUUCCUCUUCCUUGUUCCUCUCCCUUUCCCUGUCCCCCUCCCUCCCUCUCUCCUAGUAGCCACUGUGUGAAUUACUCUUUUCUACUGUGACCACCCUGCUAUCUGAAUUUGCUAGGACCUCUGAAAAAACACCAGCAAAAUAAAUCCCUCUCCCUUUAUUUCUGUCACAUAUUUUGUCAGAGCAAUUCAAAAUGAAGAUGUUAUAUUCACUGCUGAAUUCUUUCUAGUAUCCCUGAACUGGGAAGAGUUUAAAUCUUCUUUCCUAGGCAAAUGGACAGACAUCCUGUGGUGCAUCUGCACAAUGGAUUACUACUUGGCAAUAAAAGGCAUGGACUACUGAUAAUCCAAGGAAUAUGGAGUGUCUCCAGAUAAAUAACAUUUAAGC